UUAUGAUUUAAAUCGUAUACAUAAUGCAUCAAAGCUGCGUCCACGCUACGUAAUACACACGAUGCAAACCUCUAAGCCUUAAUGCGCUGCGCAGACCGAUCAAUAUAUGACAUCAAAAUAUCGCGAGAGUGAUUUUAAACAAAUCCGAGCAUCUGCUCUCGCGGUAGUUUGAUGCUAUAUUCCGUUCGAUCUGCGCAGCGCCUCAUUGAGAUAGCACACUUAUUUUGAUUUCACACAUUUUCUUUUGCGUCUGCAUGUGCUUAAUUCGCGACCACACGAGGCAGGAGAGCAAAGCAGCCGCCAAAUUCAAAAAGGUAAUGUCUGCAUUGUCCGCCAGAUGUCACCGGCGCAGUGUUAUUCAAUGUGAUCCUAACUGCUCACGUGUGCUGUUUUCAACACCUCCAGCUGAUUUCAGUAAAGCUCAAUGAAGGGGAUACUAAGAGACCAAGCCUCCAGCCCUGGAACCAAUUAGAGCCAGAGGACUCCCUUCAACCGUCCACCAGAGACACCUUCAGUGUGGAGAGAUGCAGGUGCUACUGGCGUUUCUCUGGAGAUGUAAUCAACAGCAGUUCUGUUUUAAGGCGAGUGUCUUUUUGAAUGCUGGGUCACACUAUGUCAGACAUGUGGGUGUGUAUGGGAAGGGGCCAUAUAAUAAGGAUGUAGCCCCUUUAAAUCCCCUGAGCUAUGUGUUCCUGUUGCUUAACUGUUAGAUCAUUGAGGUAAAGGGUCAUGGAUUUGAUCUAAGGGAAUAUACAUACUGAUACAAACGUCUAGAUUGAAUGCAGUGUAAUUCUCUUUGGAUAAAAGUGUCCACCAAAUGUGUAAAUGUAAUAAGAGUCACAUUUUCCCUGAUCCUUCGGGAUGAAAGAGUUUGUCGAACUAUGGAAACAUACUGUAAGUUUAAGAUCUCGAAUUUUCCUUCUCUAGUAAAACAGGUCCUUGCAUUUCAAAAACUUAAAAUAUGAAAAUAUGCCCACCCACAUUUACACAUCGUCACCGUUUAGAAACUUGGCCCGCCAAGUCACAAUGAGGUAAUAAGGAGGACAUGAAGUAAAAAAUGGGAAAGUCAGCCAAACCUUGUGUUUUCCUGGCUAUGUGUCACAUACUACUCCAGAUGAAGGUUGGAAACUAUAGGAAAGAGUGACUGAAGUUGUUUAACAAGGCCUAGAAUUGUUACAUUGGCA